rnacentral:lncRNA from 1 species
AUCCCAUCAAUAAAGUAAUUUUCUUAUAACCAUAAAAUAUUAUUAUACAUAUGUAUUACAUUUAAAAAUAUUAAAAGAAAAACAAUGAAGAAAUGAAAAAUACAUAUAAACAAAAAAAUAAAUAAAAUUGAAAAUAAAAGUUUAUACCAAAUAUUUAAUCAAAAUCUUACAAUGACAUCUUAAUUGAGUUUUCACCCCAUGCAAGA